GGUAAUGUUUUGUUUUUGAGUGCAUGCUAGCAUGAUUCCGCCUUUAAUUGUUAAUUGCAUGCUUAUAGAUGUUGCUCAAAGGAACAUGUUUUCACAAAAUCUUCCUUCAAGUGGUAUCAGAGCCUAGGUCUAGUAGUUGGUGAAUCCUUUUGGGUUUUGUAUUUCAUAGUUUUGAUUUAAAAGUUGUAAUAUGUUACAAGCUUUAUUCUUGUUUCUUUGAAUGUAAAUUUUGUUAGAAAAUUUACCAUCUCAAAUGUUGUAGAUGUAGUUCAUAUGAGCAUGAAUAUUAGAGCUAAAAUUUGGUGCCAAGUUUUUGGGGAUUUUCGGCCAAAUCCAAAGGGUGUUUUUUUGGGUUCUUGUUUGACUUGUUAAAAGUGUUUUAAGGUGACUUUUGGAACCCCUAAGUACCCUAGGAUGUUAGCCCCAUUUUGAAUGGUGAAAAUUAGAGUUUUAUUGCUUGAAAACAUUCAUGGAGCUCUUAUGGGUUUUCAUGGAUGUUCUUUAUUGUUCUUGAUGUUCUUCCCAAGAACAAAAAGGUUUGAUGUUUUGAUUUAUUUCAUAAAGUCUUUGUUUUGUGUUGGUGGGUGUGACUUAUCUAUCAUCAAAACAUUUAUUAUUUUUGAAAGGUGAUAGAAAUGGUGAUGGGUGUGUAAGAAGGACUUCUCUUACACACACACCACUUGCAUGGCACCACUUGCAUGGCUUUAUUCACAUCAACCUAUUUCCACUUGCAUGGCUUUAUGACUUAGUUGAAAAAUUUCCAAAUUUUUGUGGAGUUAUCUCCACCUUUUUCUCCCUAAAACCGGCCACCCUAUUAAAAUAGAGUAUUUUUAGGGCUUUUAUGCAAUUACAUAAAGUUUUGAUACUUUUGUGUAUUUGUAUUUUGACCCGAAAGUUUACGUUUUGACGUUAAGGCCUAAAAGCGCUAAAGGACAAAUUGUUUUGCUCCUUUAAUGAAGUUUUGAAUUUAUUGAAAUUUUUGGGUUCUAGUUGUAAUUACAUGAACUAGUGGACUUUUGUGUUUUUACAAAGUGACCCCAAAAGUUUGUGUUUUUGCAAUAUAGCCCAAAAGUUGUGGUAAUU
rnacentral:lncRNA from 1 species